GUUGAACGCUGGCGGCGUGCCUAAUACAUGCAAGUAGAACGCUGAAGGAGGAGCUUGCUCUUCUGGAUGAGUUGCGAACGGGUGAGUAACGCGUAGGUAACCUGCCUGGUAGCGGGGGACAACUAUUGGAAACGAUAGCUAAUACCGCAUGACAACAGUUAUUGCAUGAUAACUGUCUAAAAGGGGCAACUGCUCCACUACCAGAUGGACCUGCGUUGUAUUAGCUAGUUGGUGAGGUAACGGCUCACCAAGGCGACGAUACAUAGCCGACCGGAGAGGGUGGUCGGCGAAAAUGGGACUGAGACAACGCCCAGAAUCCUUCGGGAGGCAGCAGUAGGGGAAUUUUGGCAAUUGACGGAAGGCUGACCGAACAACGCCGCGUGAGUGAAGAAGGUUCUCGGGUCGUAAAGGUCUGUUGUAAGGGGAGAACGAGUGUGAGGGUAGAAAGUUCACACUGUGACGGUAUCUUAACAGAAAGGGACGGCUAACUACGUG
rnacentral:rRNA from 1 species